rnacentral:rRNA from 1 species
GAUGAACGCUAGCGGGAGGCCUAACACAUGCAAGCCGAGCGGUAUUGUUUCUUCGGAAAUGAGAGAGCGGCGUACGGGUGCGGAACACGUGUGCAACCUGCCUUUAUCUGGGGGAUAGCCUUUCGAAAGGAAGAUUAAUACUCCAUAAUAUAUUGAACGGCAUCGUUUAAUACUGAAAGCUCCGGCGGAUAGAGAUGGGCACGCGCAAGAUUAGCUAGUUGGUGAGGUAACGGCUCACCAAGGCGAUGAUCUUUAGGGGGCCUGAGAGGGUGAUCCCCCACACUGGUACUGAGACACGGACCAGACUCCUACGGGAGGCAGCAGUGAGGAAUAUUGGUCAAUGGGUGCAAGCCUGAACCAGCCAUCCCGCGUGAAGGACGACUGCCCUAUGGGUUGUAAACUUCUUUUGUAUAGGGAUAAACCUACCCUCGUGAGGGUAGCUGAAGGUACUAUACGAAUAAGCACCGGCUAACUCCGUGCCAGCAGCCGCGGUAAUACGGAGGGUGCAAGCGUUAUCCGGAUUUAUUGGGUUUAAAGGGUCCGUAGGCGGACUUAUAAGUCAGUGGUGAAAGCCUGUCGCUUAACGAUAGAACUGCCAUUGAUACUGUAAGUCUUGAGUAUAUUUGAGGUAGCUGGAAUAAGUAGUGUAGCGGUGAAAUGCAUAGAUAUUACUUAGAACACCAAUUGCGAAGGCAGGUUACCAAGAUAUAACUGACGCUGAGGGACGAAAGCGUGGGGAGCGAACAGGAUUAGAUACCCUGGUAGUCCACGCCGUAAACGAUGCUAACUCGUUUUUGGGCUUUAGGGUUCAGAGACCAAGCGAAAGUGAUAAGUUAGCCACCUGGGGAGUACGCUCGCAGGAGUGAAACUCAAAGGAAUUGACGGGGGCCCGCACAAGCGGUGGAUUAUGUGGUUUAAUUCGAUGAUACGCGAGGAACCUUACCAAGACUUAAAUGGGAAUUGACAGCUUUAGAAAUAGAGCUUUCUUCCGACAAUUUUCAAGGUGCUGCAUGGUUGUCGUCAGCUCGUGCCGUGAGGUGUUAGGUUAAGUCCUGCAACGAGCGCAACCCCUGUCACUAGUUGCCAUCAUUCAGUUGGGGACUCUAGUGAGACUGCCUACGCAAGUAGAGAGGAAGGUGGGGAUGACGUCAAAUCAUCACGGCCCUUACGUCUUGGGCCACACACGUAAUACAAUGGCCGGUACAGAGGGCAGCUACACAGCGAUGUGAUGCAAAUCUCGAAAGCCGGUCUCAGUUCGGAUUGGAGUCUGCAACUCGACUAUAUGAAACUGGAAUCGCUAGUAAUCGCGCAUCAGCCAUGGCGCGGUGAAUACGUUCCCGGGCCU